rnacentral:rRNA from 1 species
UACAGAGGGUGCGAGCGUUAAUCGGAAUUACUGGGCGUAAAGCGCACGUAGGCGGGUUGGUAAGUCCGUGGUGAAAUCCCCAAGCUUAACUUGGGAACUGCCGUGGAUACUAUCAAUCUUGAAUAUCGUGGAGGUAAGCGGAAUAUGUCAUGUAGCGGUGAAAUGCUUAGAUAUGACAUAGAACACCAAUUGCGUAGGCAGCUUACUACACGAUCAUUGACGCUGAGGCACGAAAGCGUGGGGAGCAAACAGG